rnacentral:rRNA from 1 species
CCUACGGGAGGCAGCAGUGGGGAAUAUUGGGCAAUGGGCGCAAGCCUGACCCAGCAACGCCGCGUGAAGGAAGAAGGCUUUCGGGUUGUAAACUUCUUUUAAGGGGGACGAACAAAUGACGGUAACCCUUGAAUAAACCACGGCUAACUACGUGCCAGCAGCCGCGGUAAUACGUGGGUGGCAAGCGUUAUCCUGAUUUAUUGGGUGUAAAGGGCGUGUAGGCGGGAGCGCAAGUCAGAUGUGAAAACUCAGGGCUCAACCCUGAGCCUGCAUUUGAAACUGUGUUUCUUGAGUGCUGGAGAGGCAAUCGGAAUGCGGGGUGUAGCGGUGAAAUGCGUAGAUAUACGGAGGAACACCAGUGGCGAAGGCGGAUUGCUGGACAGUAACUGACGCUGAGGCGCGAAAGCGUGGGGAGCAAACAGGAUUAGAUACCCGGGUAGUC